rnacentral:lncRNA from 1 species
GUUUGUGUGUGUGUGUGUGUGUGUGUGUGUGUGUGUGUGUGUGUGUGUGUGUGUGUGUGUGUGUGUGUGUGUGUGUGUGUGUGAUAGAAAUACAGAUCAGCAGGAACAGUGGAAAUAUCUGGAGAGAACAGGAAAGAAUGCACUGCACUGCAUUAAAAAGCAAUUCAAGUCAGACUAAAAGUUUGGGACUCACUAUCUUGUACAAAUCCUUCUGCAAGAAUAUCCUGUACUCUCUGCUCUCCAUUCUUUUCAUUCUGUUGAGAGUGCCUUCCUGCAAGAAAUUCGUUACUUCGAGAAAUUUAUUACAUCUCCACAUUCAUGCUCCACAUUUUGCGUUACUUUUGAAGGCUACGCUUCAGUGCAUUAUGAUGCCCUACCUGCCAUAAAUUCUUGCACGAUGCCCUGUUUUGCAACCUUAUAAUUUGAUCUUCUUUAGAUUCAAUCAAGUUGGAAUGUUUUGGUUACUGUUACCUUUGCUGCAGCUGUGCUGCCAUGCAGAGAUAUGCAGUUGCCCUUCCCUUCUUGACAUUCUUAUUCUUUUCUGUGUUGGAUCUUUUCUUCUGCUGAAAGCAGAUAAGCAUUCCUGCACCCUGUGAUCCUGUCAAUAGCAGGACCUUUGUAGGCGCCCAGCUAGAAGUUGGAUUCCUUUUCCUAGGAGUGAACAGAGCUUGGACAUUGGGGUGAGCACCAAGUCAGGUGUUUCAUUGUAUUCUGAGCUGCUCUGUUUGUAUGGAUUUUGACAGCUUAACCCAUGUGUCCAUGAUGGCUCCUGGGCCUCUUUACAGUCAGCCAGAAACAUUAUCAAAUAUAAACAUCGAGCUGCCUGCGGUACCGCUGCUCUGCAAUACAACACUUGCGAGGUAAACUUCAGCUCCCCUGGAUGACAGGCUCAGGGGAGAUUAUUGGCAACACACAGAAACCUAUAACACAAGGUGCAAACAAAUUAACUCCGAGCUACCAACACAAUGUGGAGAGAGAGUUGCAGAAACACUGAAAUCCUUGGAUUGACGUUGCAUGAGCGAGCACUGUAGUGCAUUGAGUAGCACACCAUGGAAUUCUGCAAGGAAAUGGCAUCGACACGGAAACCACUCUUUUCAAAACAACGUUGAACAAACAAAGGCACCUGAGAACUGCAAUGGGAAAGUGAACAAGGCUUUCAACAACACAUGCAAGCAAAAAUAUUUUCUGCCAUAAGCAUGAACAAAUUUCUCACCGACAACGCGAUUUGCUUGCGGAUCAUCGGCUUGCAGACUAGAAAGACAGAACCUGUCUGCACACACCCUGGCAUUGCAGAGGCACAACCUGUACACGUUUUUCCUUUUUUCUAACAUGACGGAUCAUACUGUACAAUAUCGUACUGUACAACGUCAACGCUGUACAUAGCAUGUACAAAACAAACAUUUCCAAAAUAGCUGGAGCUCACUCAGUUGCCCACACAGUUACCAACACAUGGCCUGAACUGAUACUGGCUGCUAUGGAGAUCCUACCAGGUGCAAGAUUUAGAUACCAAGUAAAGACAUGUAUGUACAGUGUUUUUAGAAUCCGGACAGACCUGCAUACAACCUUUGUCUUGUAUGCAGAAAAUCAAAUUGAGAAGACACUGUGUCACGCAAUGUCUACAGCUCUUGGGGCAAAACAAUCCCUGCGGCCUUCUCUGCGCAUACAUGGCCAUAGGGGUGCUCAGGCCUAGAACUGGGGAUUACCCUAGGAGCAUGUGCAAGAUUGCUGCCUACAACCCUGGGAUCCACUUGGGCAGCGUCUGGCUGGUGCUGCCCAUUGACCAGGGGAGGCUGGUGCAGUGAGUGCAAGGGAUGCAAGGAUGCAGAUCUCAUGAUGCUGCAAGAUGCCAGCAGCCGUCCCAAGCACUCCUCCUCUGAUCCAGGGCCAUAUGAGAGUGUUGUUGGUUGCUCUGCACCAGCAGUGAGUGAAUGUGCAGAACAAUGAAGAAGACAACUUUAGUCUGUCAUGGGAAGGCAGUGAUCGAGCACACAUGGCUGAAUGGGGGGGGGGGGUGAAUGCUGAGCGACAGCCAGUGUGCAUGAAGGAAACGUCCAACAGUCAGCGCUGAAGCUGAGAGUAAAUCCUACGCAGUUCAGACCAGGAGGAAAAAGAGGUGCACACAAGCAUACUUCAGCAAUCUGGAUGAAUGAUGAAGUCAGUGUCACUUUGUCUGCUCAACGUUCCAGAUCAGGCAGUAGGUGCUCGGGCACCCAGGUAGGUGCUCGAGUUCGUGCCACAGCACCUACUUUGAUGCCGAUGCAAAUGCAGGGCCCUGCUACAAUGGGAAACCUGGCGGAUGCUGUUGCUGCUGAAGGGGCAAAUUACAGUAUGCAGAGCAUCCCAGCAACAAAACCAGAAGGCACACAAUGUGGCCAGUCCCCAACUCUCUCAAAAUCAAUUCAAAGCAUUCAACGGGAUGCAAUGCUGCCCUCAGCUUUCAAGAGGUGUUCACUCAUGCAAGCAGCAAUCACAUGUCUGCCACAUGACCACAGGCAGCUACAGCAUCUUUUACAAUGUAAGCUUCAAACACAUGCAUGCAUUGCAUAAGCAGCAGCAGCAGCUAUGCAUAUGCAUCAUCUGUAUUUGGCUUGAAUAAGACGUUCAGCUGCAACCCACAAUGCCAACAGUUUCCUAAAAACACACACACACACACACACACACACACACACACACACACACACACACACACACACACACACACACACACACACACACACACACACCGACUUGCUUGGCAAGUGCAGUGGUGUAAGGAAUUGGAAAUGGGCUCAAUCGCAAGCACUCAGCGGCACUCAGCAAGCGUGAGUCGUACGCUAUGUGACUCGUUAUGUGACUCAUUCACUUAUACUGUUACAGCGAGUCUCUUGUUCGCAAUGGAUACAUUUUGUCUGCUCUCAUGUGUCAGCACAUCAUUCUCACCUGCAGGCCAUCAAGCCGCCUUGCAUCAUUUGCGAGCAUGCAUUUGCUCCUACCCACACGUUUCAGGCACACAAAAGCUCACGCAACCCUUGCAAUUUGCAACAGUGAGCAGUAGCUCCUCUUGCCAGGAUUUUGCUUUGCUAGGAAAAUACGGAAAAAGGCGCUUCUAGGAGUGGCUGGAGUGUGCCUCGCCUGGUUCACAACACCCCCGGGGAAAUAUAGCCUGGCUUUGUCAUUAUGAUCCUGUCUUUUGCACGUGCUAGCAACACCUCAAAUACUAUCAUUUAAGGUUUAUAACAAUGAGAUGUUAGCGCUCAGGUGAUGUUCCAGCCAUCAUAAGCUGGCAUGCGCACGUUCCUCUGCAAAGGUUUCCAACAUCCUUCCACGUUUCUUCACGAAAUAAUGGAGUGCGUGGGCCAGCACACUGCAUCAGACUUUGCAUGCAGACAUGAGUGUCCCCCCACCAAAUGCAUGUGAUCCCCCUUUCUCAAGCACACCUGGAACAAGACGCAAGGCGCUGAACGGUUGCACAGCUGUCAUGGCCCUAUGUCUGCAUAUGUCUAGCAUCAGACACGAGUGUGCUACUACCAGUAUGCAUGUGAUGGCGCCGUGCAAACAAGCAGCGUCUUGCCUCAAGCUCCAGGUGUGAUCCAGCUUCCACAGUUGUCCUGGCCCUAUGUCUGCAUAUGUCUAGCCUCAGGCAUGAGUGUUCUUCUACCAAAAUGCAUGUGAUCCCACGCUCUCAAGCACACCUGAAACAGCAGACAGGGCACUGGUUGGUGGCACAGCCGUCAGCGCCUUGUGGCUGCAAAUGUCGAACCUUGCGGCUGCUCGCUGCAGCGCUGCUACUUGCUGCAACCUCAGGAGUGCUUGCUGCUGUGGGAGCAGGCAGGCAGCAGCAAGCUGCUGCUGCUGGUGCUGUUGCAGAAUUUGCUGGUGCCUUUUCUGCUGCUGCUGCUGCUGCUGCCGCACGAGUGGCUUGGUGAAGGUCUGCAGCAGCGCAAAAGCACGGUUGACCUCACCACGCUCGCUGGGGCUCCAGCCUGACAGGAUGUGGGGCUUGGCCAGUACCACCUUGGCUAGCUUGGACAGGAAUGUCCAGGGCUGUGCCUUCAAUGUGUGUGCAGCGCGCAGCAAGGUGCAUAGUUCCUGCGCAGGCAUGCGGUCAGGGGGAUCAUUGAUUGCACGCACAGCUUGCAGAGUUUCACCUUGUGCUUACAUGCUGCCUUCAACAUUCAGUCUGAUCAGUGGUGCUUGGCCUCAGCAUAAAUGCGAGUGAGCAAGGAAGUGUUGAAGUGGUGGAGGCAGCAUCUGUGCAGGUCACGUCCUUCUUCAUUUCACAUUACCAGCCCAAAAGCAGAUCUUGAGCAUAGCAAAAGCAGAAGCACCUGGGGGCAUGACUUCCUGUUUUGCCAGAUUAAGGUAAGCUGCAGUGGAAAAAUUGCAGGAAUUACCUUGGGCUUAAAGCCAAAGUAUGGACCGCUUGUCUGGCCUCCUUGCUCCAUCCUGAAGGCUGCCACGUUAAAGAUCCAUUGCAACAGUUCCCGAUCCAGGAGCUCAGCAAUCUCAAAGGCGUAGACCAUGUUGGCCAAUGCCUGCUCAGGUGAAAAUACAGGAAAAUAAAUCCGUGGGAUUUGAGAUCAUGCCAGAGCAAAUUGCUUCUGGAUCUCUCCUAGUUCAAUACGAAUCCACCAACAUCUUUUGAACGCAGCGUUCUGGUGCUGCACGCUGUUUGCAUGGUCCGAACCUGCUUAGCUCAAUUCAAAUCUUCUUUGGUUACAAGUGCCCAAGGACAUAGCAUUGGAACUUGAGAGCCUCUGGUAAAGCAAGGUGAAGAUCCUGCGAAAAAAGACUGACAGGCAGGAGCAAGAAAGAAAAAAGGGGCUCUCACGGAAGUUUGCAGCUCUUACACACCAAGGUACAAUAAUAAGCAGGCACAGGGGCCAAAGCUCAACUGGGAGAGUUUUACAGUCAAGUUAAAGCUUUGGUUUUUGGCAUUAAAUGGUUGGUCAGUCAAAAGUUAAUACAAGCGCACCCCCUACACCACUGCUUGUUCAUGGCAAGAAUGGUUUGUGACAAGGUGCUGCAGGGAGGCUGACUUUGCCAAGAAGCUGCUUUGGCUGUGUCACUUUCUCAGCCUUACAGCCUGCUCCAUGCAUACAGAACCUGUAGCCCCCCAAGACUCAAGAGCAAGCUGCUGCGCUGAUACUGUGCAUUGCCAAAAGAGUGCUGACCAACUCUUGACGACUCGCUGCUUGUGCAUAGCCUGGCAGGCUGGUGUGUGUGUGUGUGUGUGUGUGUGUGUGUGUGUGUGUGUGUGUGUGUGUGUGUGUGUGUGUGUGUGUGUGUGUGUGUGUGUGUGUGUGAGUGUGUGUGUGUGUGUGUGUGUGUGUGUGUGUGUGUGUGUGUGUGUGUGUGUGUGUGUGUGUGUGUGUGUGUGUGUGUGUGUGUGUGUGUGUGUGUGUGUGUGUGUGUGUGUGCAUGAG